GAUGAACGCUGGCGGCGUGCCUAAUACAUGCAAGUCGAGCGAACGGACGAGAAGCUUGCUUUUCUGAUGUUAGCGGCGGACGGGUGAGUAACACGUGGAUAACCUACCUAUAAGACUGGGAUAACUUCGGGAAACCGGCGCUAAUACCGGAUAAUAUUUUGAACCGCAUGGUUCAAAAGUGAAAGACGGUCUUGCUGUCACUUAUAGAUGGAUCCGCGCUGCAUUAGCUAGUUGGUAAGGUAACGGCUUACCAAGGCAACGAUGCAUAGCCGACCUGAGAGAGUGAUCGGCCACACGGGAGCGGGGACACGGUCCAGACUCCUACGAGAGGCAGCAGUAGGGAAUCUUCCGCAGUGGGCGAAAGCCUGACGGAGCAACGCGGCGUGAGUGGUGAAGGUCUUCGGAUCGGAAAACUCUGUUAUUAGGGAAGAACAUAUGUGUAAGUAACUGUGCACAGCUUGACGGUACCUAAUCAGAAAGCCACGGCUAACUACGUG
rnacentral:rRNA from 1 species